UCUGUGUUACGCCACUGCAGCUCAGAAACGCUCCUUUUCCGUAGCGAGGCCGGGCAGGUUUUUCUCCUGCGCUCAGAAGUCUGCCCUGUGCCGAGGACGGGGUUGUUCCCUGGGCUCCUCUCUUCUCAUGGCCUCUUUUCCUUUUGUUUCCCAAGAUUCAGAGCUUAAUGACACUAUCAUUUUGAAGGGAAAUAUCAUAAUCUCAACAGAAAAAAGCAAGGGAUCCCAAAAGAACCCAGAUUUUGAAAAUCAAGAGUGGCAGAAAGAGAGAGCGAAACCAAACUUGGAUAACAGUGAUUGGAGAAAGAUAAUAAAGACACUCAGGAUGUCGAGCGCUAGACAGAGAUACCUGCGGCCCUGCAUGAAGUCCCACGCGGACCUACCUGACUUAAACAAGACCAG